CUCAACAGUCAAAGAAUCAUUUCUUUAGUAAACGUCCUUCUUCUGUGUUCUCUACAAGAGCCACAGACUCCAACCGAGACGAUGAGUCGAGCCUCGAAACCCUAGAGUGAAACCGUUUUUGCUUUCGCACUUUCCGCAAGGAAGGCGAUCGAGCCUGGAAACAGCGCUCGAUUGUAUAGAAAGUGGUGAUGAUCUCGUCCCUUGAUUGGUUGUCUUAGGACGCUGGUUCUGGGUGGGUUUUGAUGGUUGUCUGAUCGGU
rfam:Botryotinia fuckeliana BcDW1 unplaced genomic scaffold Scaffold_74, whole genome shotgun sequence.